AAACGGGGCUCAAGCAUACAACCGAAGCCACGGACUUAUAUUUCAAAAUAUGAGUGGUAGGGGAGCAUUGUGUAAGCCUGCGAAGGUCAACCGUGAGGAUGGCUGGAGGUAUCACAAGAGAUUAUGCUGACAUGAGUAGCGAAAAUGCGGGCGAGAAACCCGCACACCGAAAACCCAAGGUUUCCUACGUAAAGGUAAUCUGCGUGGGGUUAGUCGGUCCCUAAGGCGAGGCCGAAAGGCGUAGUUGAUGGGAAACAGGUUAAUAUUCCUGUACCUCUUUUUACUGCGAUGGGGGGACGGAGAAGGGUAGGCGAUCCAGGCGCUGGUUGUCCUGGUUCAAGCGUGUAGGGGGGGAGAGUAGGAAAAUCCGCUUUCCCGUUAACUCUGAGACGUGAUGACGAGAGCGUAUGCUCAUAAAGUCGUUGAUCCCAUGCUUCCAAGAAAAGCCUCUAAGCUUCAGGUAAUUUGAGACCGUACCGUAAACCGACUCAGGUGGGUGAGGAGAAAAUCCUAAGGUGAUUGAGAUAACACUGGUUAAGGAACUCGGCAAAAUGACACCGUAACUUCGGGAGAAGGUGUGCCUCCACUAGGUGUAGCGAUUUGCACGUGAAGCCGAUGGAGGUCGCAGAGAAAUGGCGGUAGCGACUGUUUACUAAAAACACAGGACUCUGCUAAGUCGCAAGACGAUGUAUAGGGUCUGACGCCUGCCCGGUGCCGGAAGGUUAAGGGGAUUUGUUAGCCGCAAGGCGAGGCUUUGAACCGAAGCCCCGGUAAACGGCGGCCGUAACAAUAACGGUCCUAAGGUAGCGAAAUUCCUUGUCGGGUAAGUUCCGACCUGCACGAAUGGCGUAACGAUUUCCGCGCUGUCUCAACCAGUGACUCAGCGAAAUUGAAUUGGCGGUGAAGAUGCCGUCUACCCGCGGUAAGACGGAAAGACCCCGUGAACCUUUACUAUAGCUUGACAGUGACAUUCGGAAUAGCUUGUGUAGGAUAGGUGGGAGACUUUGAAGCUGGCACGCCAGCGUCGGUGGAGUCGUCCUUGAAAUACCACCCUGGUCGUUUUGGAUGUCUAACCUAGGCCCGUCAUCCGGGUCGGGGACACUGUCUGGUGGGUAGUUUGACUGGGGCGGUCGCCUCCCAAAGAGUAACGGAGGCGCGCGAAGGUUCCCUCAGGUUGAUUGGAAACCAACCGUAGAGUGCAAUGGCAUAAGGGAGCUUGACUGCGAGACCAACAAGUCGAGCAGGUACGAAAGUAGGUCAUAGUGAUCCGGCGGUUCUGUAUGGAAGGGCCGUCGCUCAACGGAUAAAAGGUACUCCGGGGAUAACAGGCUGAUCUCCCCCAUG
rnacentral:rRNA from 1 species